AAAAAAGAAAAAGAAAGACAGAUGGUGCCCUUUGGUAGGAUCUCUGAUUUGAGAGUAAUGACAUGACUUGAAAUGGGUUUGGUUGAGCACUUUCAGAGAUUUAGCUGAAGAUAUUAACUUGAUUGCUCUAGCGUGUCAAUAUUCAGAGACAGCAAAUUAAUUUUCUGAGAUUAUGUUGGUUUCCUUCAACUAGCUUAGUAUUUCUGGAUACUUGGAUUUCCCUACCCAGAUCCUCCGAAAUGGCAAUAUUGGCGAGGUGGCAAAAACCACACUAAUUAAAUGAUAUUUUCUUGGAGCUUAAAUUUUCAACUUCAUGCAUUUGGAGAGCUUUUCGCAACAUUUCUAGGCAAUACUUGGUUCUAAAUGGCUGAACAUCUACAAUUAAGAGGAUAUCCCUCAGUGCCGGAGACGCUCUUUCAAAGCAUGCCAUCCUCAGAAAUGCCUGAUCUCUCCACAAAUGGUUGAAAGUGGAAGUGAAGUGAGAUAAGAGUAUAUUGCACCCAAGGUGUUUUUGG